CAUUUUGUAGUUAAUAUCGUUUUAAUAUUUUAUGUAGAGGCAACAUUGUACAUGUGCUCAAGGACAAAGGGCUGAUGGGCUAAACUUUAAGUUGUUGAAAAUGUCUUAAUGGGCUUAAUUGAAGAGUUGUGGUGUUAAGGGCCUGCAUAUAUAACGAUAAUAACUAGUGAUUUUGAGAGGUCAUCAUUCAGAUAAAAUUAUCAUCUCCAAAAGUGUCUACAGUGUUUUCUAUGGUGGUCUAGGGUUUUAACUCGACCUCAACAUCAAGGCCGCACUACAUCAGAUGAUCAGCAUCAUGCUUCUCUAUGUCUUUUGAUCAGUCUUGUAUUUAUCUCUGUAUCCUUUGUUCAUAUUUCUGUUCAUGUGUCUCGUUGUUGAUCCAUUGUUGGAUCUGAUCCAGUGUUGGAUCUUGUAAUUUGGUGAUUUCAACUGAUAUUCUUUUCGGUUGAUCUUGUAUUUUGUAUUUGUGAUUUAGAUCUUACAUAAGUAAGAUCUAGGGUUUCGGUUGGGUGUUUUUGGUUUGGGUUAACUAAUAAAAGUUUUACGUCACCGUUUUGUCGCUUCUCUUGUGUUUCGUAUUGUUUCUUGUGUUGUGUGUUGAGAAAUCAUACCAUUUGACAUGGUAUCAGAGCUUGCUCUGAUCGAUUAUCAUCGAUUGAUAGAUUUUGGUUCUUCCGCUGGUUUGGUACGUUUCGCUACUUGGAAUUGUUUGUUUUGAAUCCCAGAGAUUUGGUCAUAUUUGGUUCAUCACACAUCUGGCAUGAUUGAUAUGUUGGUGUUAGGGUUUCGAUUAAAACCCUAGUUGUCUUUGUUCUUGACUGGCGAUCUUGGUGCAUUCAUAUUUGUAGAAGUUCUUACAUCAGGUAUAGGAUCUUGUUACAACGGAUUGGUAUUCUUACCUCUAUAAGCGCUCUGCACUUCUUAAUGUUUACAAGAUGAUCAAGAGUUAGUUUUCAGAAUGUGAUGAGCUUGAUAUGGAUAUGAGUGGUAUUUCGACGGACGAUGAGUGGUUCUCUACAUGUGGUUUGAAAAAGUGAACCGUAAAGGAAGCAGGCAUGGUCAGAAUCAAACCGAAAUGUUCAGGGAAGUCUCUACAUAUCUAGUUUUUUUUUGUUUAUGUAUGAAUGCAUUUCUUCUCAAUUUCAUAUUAUUCAUAUUCUUCAUAAGAUACAUAUUGACUCUGUCGUCUUUAAAGAUCUUGUUACAAGUAAAGUUGGAUUAUUUUAAUUUGAAUGGAAGUCACUUGUUUUUAUAGAAAAUUACCUUUGUUGAAAAGAGAUGCUAUGUCUUUGAUGUGUUUGCAGCAUGAAAUUGAGGGGGGAUGUUAAAAUCCAUGCUAAAAUGUGUCAAUUUAAUGUUGCAAACAUUUUGUAGUUAACAUCGUUUUAAUAUUUUAUGUAGAGGCAACAUUGUACAUGUGCUCAAGGACAAAGGGCUGAUGGGCUAAACUUUAAGUUGUUGAAAAUGUCUUAAUGGGCUUAAUUGAAGAGUUGUGGUGUUAAGGGCCUGCAUAUAUAACGAUAAUAACUAGUGAUUUUAACUCGACCUCAACAUCAAGGCCGUACUACAUCAGAUGAUCAGCAUCAUGCUUCUCUAUGUCUUUUGAUCAGUCUUGUAUUUAUCUCUGUAUCCUUUGUUCAUAUUUCUGUUCAUGUGUCUCGUUGUUGAUCCAUUGUUGGAUCUGAUCCAGUGUUGGAUCUUGUAAUUUGGUGAUUUCAACUGAUAUUCUUUUCGGUUGAUCUUGUAUUUUGUAUUUGUGAUUUAGAUCUUACAUAAGUAAGAUCUAGGGUUUCGGUUGGGUGUUUUUGGUUUGGGUUAACUAAUAAAAGUUUUACGUCACCGUUUUGUCGCU